GAUCAUGGCUCAGAUUGAACGCUGGCGGCAUGCCUUACACAUGCAAGUCGAACGGCAGCACGGGGCAACCUGGUGGCGAGUGGCGAACGGGUGAGUAAUGCAUCGGAACGUGCCAUUGAGUGGGGAUAACGUAGCGAAAGUUGCGCUAAUACCGCAUAUUCUGUGAGCAGGAAAGCAGGGGACCGCAAGGCCUUGCGCUCUUUGAGCGGCCGAUGUCAGAUUAGCUAGUUGGUGAGGUAACGGCUUACCAAGGCGACGAUCUGUAGCGGGUCUGAGAGGAUGAUCCGCCACACUGGAACUGAGACACGGUCCAGACUCCUACGGGAGGCAGCAGUGGGGAAUUUUGGACAAUGGGCGGAAGCCUGAUCCAGCCAUGCCGCGUGAGUGAAGAAGGCCUUCGGGUUGUAAAGCUCUUUCGGCGGGGAAGAAAUUGCACGGGUUAAUACCCUGUGUAGAUGACGGUACCCGAAUAAGAAGCACCGGCUAACUACGUG
rnacentral:rRNA from 1 species